GUUUGGGUUUGGAUUUAUUUGGGUCCAAGUUUGGGUUCUGGUUUUAUGUGUGGACUUGGUUUGGGUUUGGAUUUAUUUGGGUCCAAGUUUGGGUUUAUUUGGGUUUUGGGUUUAGGUUUAUUUGGGUUUGGGUUUGGGUUUGAUUUUGGGUUCGGGUUUUGGUCUUAUUUGUGGACUUGGUUCAGGUUGGGUUUAGAUUUGAUUUAGGUUGGGUUUUGGUUUUAUGUGUGGAAUGGGUUUGGAUUUUAUUUGGGUUUGGGUUUUGGUUUGAUUUGAGUUUGGGUUUUGGUUUUAUGUGUGGAAUGGGUUAGGAUUUUAUUUGGGUUUGGGUUUGCGUUUGAUUUGAGUUUGGGUUUUGGUUUUAUUUGGGGAAUGGGUUUGGAUUUUAUUUGGGUUUGUAGGUGAACUUGAUUUGCAAUUUGGGUUCGCAUAUGAACUUAAUUUGCAAUUUGGGUUCGCAUAUGAACUUAAUUUGCAGUUUAAGUUCGUGUAUAGACUUGAUUUGCAAUUUGAUUUGGGGUCCGAAGAAAUCCCCUUUUGAUUUUGCAAUUUGAUUUGGGGUCCGAAGAAAUCCCCUUUUGAUUUUGCCAUUAGAUUUGGGGUCCGAAGAAAUCCCCUAUUGAUUUUGCAAUUGAAUUUGGGGUCCGAAGAAAUCCCCUAUUGAUUUUGCAAUUGAAUUUGGGAUCCGAAGAAAUCCUCGUUUGAUUUGAAUUUGAAUUUAGGG
rnacentral:lncRNA from 1 species